rnacentral:lncRNA from 1 species
UUUAAAGAAAUUAAGGUGGAAGCUGAAAUAAUGUGGUAGUGGUAGAAAACGUGGGAACGCCGGAGUAAAUCUUGUUUGUACUGUUUAAUUGAUUCUUGUGGAAUGUCCCAAUCUUUCUAGUCCUAGUACGGCAGGGCAAUCUUAAGUGGUAGGGAAAAAAUGGCUAAUGGUGCUGAAAAGAAUAGGCAAUCUUUAAAAGCAACUGCGAAGCUUUUCCUCGAUCACUAUAUUGAAGAGACACGUUACGAUACACGUAUUUAUUUAAUGAAUUUUUGUUAUUUUACAAAUAAACACAGUUAGAUGUGAUAUUCUCUUUAUUAUAACAUACUUAGUCGUUAGAUGUUGAUUGGAUAUGCAUGUGUUGUAGCUAAGUCUUGAAAGUUGGAUUCCCCAAACACGUGAUUAGUUGGUUUAGAGGUCUUCGAUUGAUUGGAGGAGUUUUCAGGUUUAACUCAUGGAUAUGCAAAAAUGAUAUAUGGUUGCAGUGAUUUUAAUACUAAAUUGCGGUCAGUUGUAACUUUUGUUAAGUUACAACUUGUUUGUAAAAGUAUCUUUGUAAACAUAAAGCAAGUUAUAACUCACAACUACAUCUUUUUAAUUUCUUAUAACAUGGACAUAAGUAUAGUAACAUGAAUUUCUUGGUAGUUAUAUAUUCUUACUUAUCAAGAAACCCAAGAAAAAGAAAAGCAUUUAUUAUCUCAUUUUAUUUUUGUUAGUUGAUUAGUUUUCCCCUUUCAGUAUGAAAGGAAAAAUAAAUAUGAGAAAGGUUAGUUUUUACUCAAAUUAUAAUAAUUACCAAUAUUAUUUAUGAACUCAUAAAAUUUGUUGGGCAGCUUUAUUAUUUAUAUGCAUAAUGUUGCGUGCUAGAUAGAAUUAAGAAUGAGGAUGUUGGAAGUAAAGUAAGUGUGAUUAGAAUUAAGAAUGAUAUGAUUAAGAAUGAGGAUGUUGGAAGUAAAGUAAGUGUGACAACCCGUCCCAAAUUUUACAUUUUAAUAAAUUUUAAAUGUGUGAUUUUACGAAAAUGCCUUUAGAGGCGAGAGUCUUGACUUUCGUUGAUCAACGUAUAGCAAGAUGUAUGAAUUAAU